ACUAAGCUUGCAUAUGCAGAAACCCCAUUUCCGGCUCUGCAGCAGCAAGGCCACAGGACCACCCAGCUCCAGUGACACUUCAAAAGCCUGUCAGGUGGCAGGCAGAACAAGAGCCAUUUCACCAGUGGGAAGAGCCCCAAGGAUGCAGCCCGGACCACUUGCUCUCUUGUGCACAGUUUUGACCUCCAUCUGCUUUGGUUCCAGCAAUUCCCAGAGUGUCAUUCAACCUACAAAUGUAAUGUAUACAAAAGAGGGAGAAUCUGUGACCUUGGAAUGCACGAUCACAGUCAGUUAUACUUACUAUGCUAUGUACUGGUAUCAACAGCUUUCCAGUGGAGAGAUGACUCAUAUCAUUUAUGUAUAUUCUGAAGACAGGAACUCAAGAGAAGGACGAUAUUCUGUGGUGUUUCAGAAACCAACCAUAAAGCUCACCAUCUCAACCUUGACGCCUGGAGACUCAGCUGUCUAUUUCUGUGCUGUCGCACAACGAACCCACGGUGACAGCAGUGGUGGGAAGAGCCUUACAAAAACCCCAGGACCCAGCAUGAGCCAGCCAGCUGCUCCAGGAGCCUAG